rnacentral:rRNA from 1 species
UACGUAGGGCGCAAGCGUUAUCCGGAAUUAUUGGGCGUAAAGAGCUCGUAGGCGGUUUGUCGCGUCUGCCGUGAAAGUCCGGGGCUUAACUCCGGAUCUGCGGUGGGUACGGGCAGACUUGAGUGAUGUAGGGGAGACUGGAAUUCCUGGUGUAGCGGUGAAAUGCGCAGAUAUCAGGAGGAACACCGAUGGCGAAGGCAGGUCUCUGGGCAUUAACUGACGCUGAGGAGCGAAAGCAUGGGGAGCAAACAGG